rnacentral:rRNA from 1 species
GUGGGGAAUAUUGGACAAUGGGGGGAACCCUGAUCCAGUCAUGCCGCGUGGAGGAAGACUGCCCUCUGGGUUGUAAACUCCUUUUAUAUGGGAAGAACCGUCCUCAUUAAUGAGUGACCUGACGGUACCAUAGGAAUAAGCACCGGCUAACUCCGUGCCAGCAGCCGCGGUAAUACGGAGGGUGCAAGCGUUAUCCGGAUUCACUGGGUUUAAAGGGUGCGUAGGCGGAUAAAUAAGUCAGUGGUGAAAUCAACGGGCUCAACCUGUUAACUGCCAUUGAUACUGUGUAUCUUGAAUAUGAGAGAGGUAGGCGGAAUGUUGCAUGUAGCGGUGAAAUGCUUAGAUAUGCUACGGAACACCGAUUGCGAAGGCAGCUUACUAUUUCGUAAUUGACGCUGAGGCACGAAAGCGUGGGUAGCGAACAGGAUUAGAUACCCCAGUAGUCC